AGUUUUAAAGAUCUAAGCAUACAGAGCGACAGUGACGCAUUUUGUCUCCUCAACAGCUAGUGUAACUAUCUUUGGAUCGUUUGCUUUAUUGUCGACAAAGUUUACAAGGAGCUGAGCUGGGUGGUUAGCUGCAUUCUUCUUUUUGCGACGUCGGUUAGACUCGGUAACAGUCGAUAGAGCUCUCAUGCCAUCUGACGAGGAAGAAGUCUGAUGAUGGAAGUACUUAAAAUUCUUGCGAAUUCCACAGCGGCAUCCACUUAGAGCGCUCUCGCGUCUGAAGAAAUAUUUUUAUUUAAUAUUUUGAAAUGUAUAAUAUGCAAAAAGGGGAUGUCCAUAGAUUAUAUAACACAUAUAACACAAGUUAAUGGAAUCUCCGAAAUGUGAUUUUGUGUGACAAGAGAUGGAAAGGAGCCAAAAAUUUUUAAAAAUUUAUGAACAAUAAACCUUAAUCAUUAAA